rnacentral:lncRNA from 1 species
UAUAAUCACCAAAACAUAUAAAGUUCAAGUUCUUUUGCCAUUUAAGGUGCCUACUGUAGCCAGCUAUAACUAUAUUUGGUAUAUAACGUGAAUUUAAUAGUUAGAAAAAAAAUUAUCAUACAAUCACUAUACAAAAUUAGGUAUUCUAUUUGUUUUAAACCUUUGAUAGAUGAAUUCUGGCACCAACGUGAUAUCUCAGCUAAACAUGUUAUCAAACUCAUCAGCUCCAAGGUUUUGUCCUUUAACUUUGACGUAACUGAGAUAUGUUGUUUUGUGUAACAUGACAAAUUAUGCUUCUUUUAAUCUAGAAAAAAUGUUCAUAUUUACCGUGAUGGCUCGUUGACGGAGGAAACUGGAGUAAGAAGGAUCACAUUUCCGGAAAACCAUGAAGGGGCCGAAAUAGAGGCGGUGACUUCACCGGAGAUAUCAAAACCAAGGUUGUUCUUGACUACCUCAAACACACUUCUUAGUUCUUGAUGUAAUCACGCCUCUGGUCUUUCCCAAGAAGCCCUAACAAGCAUGGUCUAUUUUAGGGAUCACCAAUCUAUAAAACGCUACAAUAAACUACUCCUCCCAUUGUUUCAAACAAAGUUUGAAUUGUUCUAGUGAAUAUAACUAAGAAAGCUGAACAUAAAUGGUGCCAGGAUGUGAAGUGGCUUUGAGAAGAAAGUCAGUGUGCCCCCAACGAACUGCGUCUUCAGCAUUUAAUAAUUCAAAAUUCAUGCAUGAGAUCAUCAAACCCAAGUAAAAUCAAUGAGAGUAUUGUGGUAGUGAAUGCCAUUAGAAAUUUAAACUUCAUGUUGUCCCAUGCAUCGUAGGAUCCUCCCAUCAAGUCCACCUACAAAUUAAACCCAUUAACCAAAGUUAUAGUGUUUAAAAAAAAAGAUGAGAUUUCUAUGGAUGUGCUUUUGUGCUGAAUUUUCUUAUGUGUUUAACAGAUUCGUGGUAACUACAUAUUUUUCUUAGCUAAACAUUACGGAUGCUCAAAAAUCCUAACCACAGUGGCACAGUGAGUAAGUUUAGUGACUAGCUACUUUCAUAAGAUCAGUAAGACUUUUGGCCGCGUUCAGUAUAUGGUGAUAUCAAGGCAUGCACAACGAUUAUAAUUUAUAAACCACGAGCAGAUCUUAGAGGUUCUGGCAUUAGAAGCAUGUGAUAAGAAUGCUAGUAGAUAUUAAUGUUUUGCAAAUCUAGGUCAGAGUGAGUCGUUUUCGGACCGUUGUGCCUUGAGAUUGUUUUCGUGACAACGCUUCCAUAAAUAAAUUAAUCUUAAACACAAGUGUACAUGUGGCUUUUAAAAAUGAUCGACAGCUGAUUAAUCAAUUACUAUAAGAGAAUCUUUUUAUGAACUGAUCGAAUCUCAACGGUAACAAUCAUUGAUUGUAAUUCUAUAUACGCAAUGGUAGAUUAUAAUUUUUAAAGGCGUGUUGACAGAAUAAGUGGUAACUUGACGCCUAUAGCUUAAUUUGCAUGAAUAGGAGGCGGAUCAGGGGAAUUUGCAUCGCCACAAGCAGCCACCGUUGAACACAAAUCCACGAGAAAGAAAUGACUUGUUUUACUGAUGAUGGUGCUUGGAGAAAGGAUAGUCAUGCAGGAGGAAUAUAAUGGAUCAUGGGUCAUUAGAGAUACAAAUGGUCAAUCUUUUAAAAUUUGUGCCAUCGGUGUAAGCUCUCUGGCAUGUUAAAUCAUUCGUGGAAAUACAUAAUAAUGGUGACAAAUAAAUUGAAUAAUUGAACAAAUUGUCAAAAAUAUUACAACCACUAAAAUCGAUAGCCAACUUCUAAUAUUAAGUCAGUCACGACUCACUAGUACAAACC